GAGUGACGUCACACUGCCAAGAAAAGCUUCUAGUUAGAAUCAGACCGCCUGUACCGCAAACCGACACAGGUAGUCGGGUCGAGAAGACCAAGGUGAGCGAGAGAACUCUCGUUAAGGAACUCGGCAAAAUGACCCCGUAACUUCGGGAGAAGGGGUGCUGAUCGCAAGAUCAGCCGCAGUGAAUAGGCCCAGGCGACUGUUUAUCAAAAACACAGGUUUCUGCAAAAUCGUAAGAUGAAGUAUAGGGGCUGACGCCUGCCCGGUGCUGGAAGGUUAAGAGGAUGGGUUAGCGCAAGCGAAGCUCAGAAUUGAAGCCCCAGUAAACGGCGGCCGUAACAAUAACGGUCCUAAGGUAGCGAAAUUCCUUGUCGGGUAAGUUCCGACCCGCACGAAAGGCGUAACGAUCUGGGCACUGUCUCAACGAGAGACUCGGUGAAAUUAUAAUACCCGUGAAGAUGCGGGUUACCCGCGACAGGACGGAAAGACCCCAUGGAGCUUUACUGUAGCUUGAUAUUGGGUGUUUGUACAACUUGUACAGGAUAGGUAGGAGCCGUAGAAGUCGGGACGCUAGUUUCGACGGAGGCAUCGGUGGGAUACUACCCUCGUUGUAUGAACACUCUAACCCACGCCGGCAAUCACGGCGGGAGACAGUGUCAGGUGGGCAGUUUGACUGGGGCGGUCGCCUCCUAAAAGGUAGCGGAGGCGCCCAAAGGUUCCCUCAGAAUGGUUGGAAAUCAUUCGCAGAGUGUAAAGGCAUAAGGGAGCUUGACUGCGAGACCUACAAGUCGAGCAGGGACGAAAGUCGGGCUUAGUGAUCCGGUGGUUCCGCAUGGAAGGGCCAUCGCUCAACGGAUAAAAGCUACCCUGGGGAUAACAGGCUUAUCUCCCCCAAGAGUCCACAUCGACGGGGAGGUUUGGCACCUCGAUGUCGGCUCAUCGCAUCCUGGGGCUGUAGUCGGUCCCAAGGGUUGGGCUGUUCGCCCAUUAAAGCGGUACGCGAGCUGGGUUCAGAACGUCGUGAGACAGUUCGGUCCCUAUCCGUCGCGGGCGCAGGAAAUUUGAGAGGAUCUGUCCUUAGUACGAGAGGACCGGGAUGGACAUACCGCUGGUGUACCAGUUGUUCUGCCAAGGGCAUCGCUGGGUAGCUAUGUAUGGAUGAGAUAAACGCUGAAAGCAUCUAAGUGCGAAACUCACCUCGAGAUAAGAUUUCCCC
rnacentral:rRNA from 1 species